GAACUCCUCGCUUGCGCUCGCCGCGACUACCGGAAGAGUGAGGAGCGGCAUCCUCUGCAGAUGCGUAACCAGCAGCAGCAGCCACAUCCUCCCUGCUGCUGCUGUUAUUGUUAUUAUUAGUGCUUCCAUCCUUACUACUGUUAGAUUUAUUCAACUCUGGAGGCUGCUCGUACUGCGACAAGUUGUUCAAACUGACACUUUUCCUCAUAGAAUCAACCACCACUCUGACACCAAACAGCAUGAUCUCACCGGCUCCUCCACCAGCAGCGCCGCCACCGGGGGUGCACGUCCCAGCCAUAUCUCAACAAUUAACGAAGAAUCGCUUUUCUUUUGAUGGACGGUCGUCGUUUUUUGAGAUGGAUGGGUGCGGAGGAAUAUGCGACCCGUGACCGUACAAUUGUCAAGAGGGCAGAGGAUGAGGAAAAGAAAUAAUAAAGGAAAUACAAAUGAAAGGAAAU
rnacentral:misc_RNA from 1 species